GGAGGAGUGCCAGAGCGGUCUAAUGGAACAGUCUUGAAAACUGUCGUCUCCGCAAGGGGACCGUGAGUUCGAAUCUCACCUCCUCCG
rnacentral:tRNA from 1 species